rfam:Gossypium raimondii Chr11_contig_15, whole genome shotgun sequence.
UGUCAAAAAUAUUAUCCAUUUCUGUUAUUAAAAACUAGCAUGGCUGACAAAAUAAUCAAAAAGUUACAUGUGGCGUAUCACGUGUACCUUAUGUUGGCAUACAAUAACUAGUUUUUAAUUGUAAAAAUGAAUGAAAUUUUUAACA